rnacentral:rRNA from 1 species
UACGAAGGGGGCGAGCGUUGUUCGGAUUUACUGGGCGUAAAGGGCGCGCAGGCGGUCAUUUUUGUCGAGUGUGAAAGCCCCGGGCUUAACCUGGGAACUGCGCUCGAAACGGGAUGACUAGAGAUCGGGAGAGGAGAGUGGAAUUCCCAGUGUAGAGGUGAAAUUCGUAGAUAUUCGCAAGAACACCAGUGGCGAAGGCGGCUCACUGGCCCGGUACUGACGCUGAGGUGCGAAAGCGUGGGGAGCAAACAGG